rnacentral:tRNA from 1 species
GUGGUCUAGGGGUAUGAUUCUCGCUUCGGGUGCGAGAGGUCCCAGGUUCAAAUCCCGGAAGUGCCCA